rnacentral:rRNA from 1 species
GAUGAACGCUGGCGGCGUGCUUAACACAUGCAAGUCGAACGGAAAGGCUCCUGCUUGCAGGGGCACUCGAGUGGCGAACGGGUGUGUAACACGUGUGUGAUCCCCCCUUCUCUUCGUGAUAUGCCUUCGAAACUGGGUCUCAUACCGGAUAGGAUCAUCGUUUAGUGUUGGUUGUGGAAAGUUUUUCCGGUUUGGGAUGAGCUCGCGGGCUAUCGGCUUCUCGUUGGCUUGAUGGCAUACCAAGGCGUUGACGGGUAGCCGGCCUGUGGGGGUGUACGGCCACAUUGGGACUGAGGUAAGGCCGAGAUUCCUACGGGAGGGAGCAGGGGGAAAGAUUGAACAAUGGGCGCAAGCCUAAUGAAGCAACGCCGCGUGGGGGAAAACGGCCUUCGGGUUGAAAACUACUUUCGUAAGUAACGAAGCGAGAGUGACGGUAACUGGAUAAGAAGCACCGGCUAACUACGUG